GACGAACGCUGGCGGCGUGCUUAACACAUGCAAGUCGAACGGAAAGGCCCUUCGGGGUACUCGAGUGGCGAACGGGUGAGUAACACGUGGGUGAUCUGCCCUGCACUUUGGGAUAAGCCUGGGAAACUGGGUCUAAUACCGAAUAGGACCACGCGCUUCAUGGUGUGUGGUGGAAAGCUUUUGCGGUGUGGGAUGGGCCCGCGGCCUAUCAGCUUGUUGGUGGGGUAAUGGCCUACCAAGGCGACGACGGGUAGCCGGCCUGAGAGGGUGACCGGCCACACUGGGACUGAGAUACGGCCCAGACUCCUACGGGAGGCAGCAGUGGGGAAUAUUGCACAAUGGGCGCAAGCCUGAUGCAGCGACGCCGCGUGAGGGAUGACGGCCUUCGGGUUGUAAACCUCUUUCGCCAGGGACGAAGCGCAAGUGACGGUACCUGGAGAAGAAGGACCGGCCAACUACGUGCCAGCCGCCGCCGUAACAC
rnacentral:rRNA from 1 species